rnacentral:rRNA from 1 species
UCAGCUUGUUGGUGGGGUAAUGGCCUACCAAGGCGACGACGGGUAGCCGGCCUGAGAGGGCGACCGGCCACACUGGGACUGAGACACGGCCCAGACUCCUACGGGAGGCAGCAGUGGGGAAUAUUGCACAAUGGGCGAAAGCCUGAUGCAGCGACGCCGCGUGAGGGAUGACGGCCUUCGGGUUGUAAACCUCUUUCAGCAGGGAAGAAGCGCAAGUGACGGUACCUGCAGAAGAAGCACCGGCUAACUACGUGCCAGCAGCCGCGGUAAUACGUAGGGUGCGAGCGUUGUCCGGAAUUAUUGGGCGUAAAGAGCUCGUAGGCGGCCUGUCGCGUCGGAUGUGAAAGCCCGGGGCUUAACCCCGGGUCUGCAUUCGAUACGGGCAGGCUAGAGUGUGGUAGGGGAGAUCGGAAUUCCUGGUGUAGCGGUGAAAUGCGCAGAUAUCAGGAGGAACACCGGUGGCGAAGGCGGAUCUCUGGGCCAUUACUGACGCUGAGGAGCGAAAGCGUGGGGAGCGAACAGGAUUAGAUACCCUGGUAGUCCACGCCGUAAACGUUGGGAACUAGGUGUUGGCGACAUUCCACGUCGUCGG